CCCCUCUCAGGAUGGCACCUGGAGAGUUUUUAGUACUCUACCAGUCUUAGUACAGGAGGGAGAGAAAAGCAGAGGUGUGUCCAUUCUGUUUCUAGCUUGGGCAGUGGCUAGCUAGUGGAAGGCAAUCUGCUACAAGU